rnacentral:rRNA from 1 species
UUUGCAUAAUGAGCCUGCGAGUUGUGGUGUCUGGCAAGGUUAAGCAAACGCGAAGCCGUAGCGAAAGCGAGUCUGAAUAGGGCGCUUAGUCAGAUGCUGCAGACCCGAAACGAAGUGAUCUAUCCAUGAGCAAGUUGAAGCUAGUGUAAGAACUAGUGGAGGACUGAACCCAUAGGCGUUGAAAAGCCCCGGGAUGACUUGUGGAUAGGGGUGAAAGGCCAAUCAAACUUCGUGAUAGCUGGUUCUCUCCGAAAUAUAUUUAGGUAUAGCGUUGUGUCGUAAUAUAAGGGGGUAGAGCACUGAAUGGGCUAGGGCAUACACCAAUGUACCAAACCCUAUCAAACUCCGAAUACCUUAUAUGUAAUCACAGCAGUCAGGCGGCGAGUGAUAAAAUCCGUCGUCAAGAGGGAAACAACCCAGACUACCAGCUAAGGUCCCUAAAUCUUACUUAAGUGGAAAACGAUGUGAAGUUACUUAAACAACCAGGAGGUUGGCUUAGAAGCAGCCAUCCUUUAAAGAAAGCGUAAUAGCUCACUGGUCUAGUGAUUUUGCGCGGAAAAUAUAACGGGGCUAAAGU